rnacentral:lncRNA from 10 species
GUAAUCAGAACUCUCCUUCCUGCCCUCUUCAAUGUUUAUUAUUUUAUCACAAGAAGAAAAUAGUAUAACUAGGUACAAUGAUCUCUCACAUGGCUUUACUAGCUUUUGUGAAGGUAUGUAGUGUAAGAAUAGUUAUUAAAAUUGAUGUUUCUAUGGGGAUACAAUUGUUAAAGAAUUCCGUUCUGCCAGCUUUCCCACUCUCCUCUCUUUUCACUUUUUUGAUUGAGACCUUUGAAGCACAAAAAUUUUGAAGUUAGAUGAGGUCCAAUUAUUUAUUUUCUUAUUGCUCGUUCUUUCGGUAUCAUGCUAAAAAAAAUGCUAAACUUAAGGUCUUGAAUAUUUAACUUCAUCUUUUCUCAUAUUUUUAUAAUUUUACUUCUUAUGUUUAGGUCCCUGAUCAAUUUGAGUUUAAGUAUGAUUUGUAAUGCCACUUCAUUCUUUUGUUUGUGGAUAUCUUCUUGUCUGAGCACAAUUUGUUAAAGAAGCUGAUGCUUACAACAAUGGAGAUUAGCAAUACCUGGACAGAGUUGAGCUUCAAAGGAUACUGAGAAAUAGCUAAAGCAGAUGAUAAAGAAAAAAUGAGGAAAUGCUGUGAAGAACUAAUAGAACGUUUCAGAAGCAGAACAAGUCGAGAGCAGUGAUGACCCUUUUGUUCCUGCUAGUACCUCCUGUCUGUCUGGCCGAACUCACCAUCAGAUGAUGUCUUGAACCUCACCUAGAUGGGCUGGUGGUGUGUGGCCAGGUUAAGAGCACCAACAGGAGUAAGAAAGUGACCUGCCUGGUUUUACCGUGUGUACUAGGGGAGGGGUUGAAAGCUUUCGGUUGAUACAUCACCUCUGGGAGUUGAAGAAGAAUGCAAUUAAGAGAGCUAAAGAAGUCAGUAGGUAUCUCUCCUGAACAAUUCUGGUUUUCUUCUAAUAGCUUUUACAAUUUUUACCUCUGUUAUGAAAUGCAAACUUUUAACCAAUAUUAGUAAUAGUAAUCUCAAAUCUCAUCAUCAUCAAAAUCUUAUUUAUGAAAUAUAGGAGUUAGUUCAUAUACAGCCUUAGCCUUUUCCACAUUAUAAAAUAUAUUCCAUAUAUAUGUGUGAUCUUCAUUUAAUAUUCAAGUAAAUGUUGUAAGAUAUUGUUAUUUUUAUUCUAACAUUUCACAGGUAUAGAAUCUGAAACUCAGAGGUCAACUGAUGUGUCAAAGAUACCUCCACAAAUCAGUACCUUGAUUAAAACUAAAAUUGGAGUCAUCUUCAUAUCUCCAUCUUUCUCCCUCUUCAUUAGGACCGAUUGUAGUCUGUUUCCCUCUCACUCACUUGCAAUCUUUAUUGCUUUAGUGUUGCAUUUGAUUUUUAUCUUUGUUUUUGUUUUAAAUACUGUCAUUAAAGUCAUAGAAAAAUCUAAAAUAAAACUGGUUGAAUAAAAAUUUUAAAAUCGACUCUAAUGUAAUAAACCAGACAAAAAUGAUACUUUAAAUGUUAUAUCUUCCCUUUAAACUACAAAUAUUCAUUGAGUGUAUACCCUGUAUUAGGCUGUUGGAAUAAAACAGGGAAGAAGACAGAAGAAACUGCACCGCCAUCUUAGAUCUUGCAGCCAAAUUCCUCUGAACUUUUCUCUAAAGACGUGCUCUGGAAAAAUGUUGAUCAUUUUCCUACAUCAUGGAGGUCUUUUCAUGACCACCUUUGUCUAGACAAUGUCCUGUUUUUAGGUGCACGUUUGAGGGCUGGAGUCUCUGACCCACAGUGCUGCAGCCUGCACGUGGUUUGUCCUGACUUCUUUGCUACUUCACUUUUCGUAAGGCUCUGAGAGUGCAGGCCCUUGUGGGUGGACACUGCAGGGUGAGAGGAAGAAGUAAACUACUUUUUUCCGUUUCUGAUGGGGGUGUGGGUCAGCAGCUAUAAGCAACAGGGACCAUGGGGGGCCUCAGACUUCAGCACCUGAGAGGCAGUUUCAGUCGUAUUGGGGAGAUGCAGGCAUCUGGGUUGCUGCACAUCACCAGGGCAGGGUUCUCUCAGCAGCCCUGGAGUGCAGAGUUCCCAUCAGCUCAGCAGUGAGGGGCACAUGGGGCUCCAGUGGUGAGGACUCUUGGUCCUUGGAUGACAACACUCCCCUGCCCACUUCUCCAGCCUUCCCUGUAACCCUUUGCCACCUCUAACCAAUCUUCUGUGUUACAUCUCUUCGGUUUGCAAUAUGUAGUGUUCGUAUAUGACUGGACAGUAUCUACUGGAGUUAAUAUCUAUCAGAGUAAUUAUAUCACAAUUGCAAUCUUCUCCUAAGAGUGAAUAGUGACAUUAAAAAUUUCAACAUUAUAAAUUAUGCAGAAAUAAAACUAAUUAUACAAAAAAUACACUCUGAAUGUCAGUUUUUCCCUGAGACAAUCUACCAUUUGAUAUACGGUGAUUCACACUUCUUAAUAUACAACAUUGAAUUACUUUUCCAAAAGCCUCUUCAAAUUUUGCUGCAGAAUUAAACUUCACUUGCACCAGCUCUGAAUUAUGUGUGCUUUUCCUUCUUGGUCAAUUUCAUAGGUGUAUCAUUAUUUGUCUUUUUUAAUUAAUAUGUUUAUAUAACUUUUCAUGUUUAUCCAUGUAACUACUGCUUUUGUGAAACGUGUGUUUUUAUCCUUUUCACAUUUUUUUCUAUUGAAAUGUUUUCUUUAUAAAUAUAAAUGUGUUUUUGGUAUGAAAAUAAUAACUGGCCAGAUGCGGUGGCUCACACCUGUAAUCCCAGCACUUUGAGAGGCCGAGGUGGGUGGAUCACCUGGCCUCAGGAGUUCGGGACCAGCCUGGCCAGCAUAGUGAAACCCCAUCUCUACUAAAACUACAAAAUUAGCUGGCGUGGUAGCACGUGCCCUGUAAUCCAAGCUACUUGGGAGGCUGAGACAGGAGACUCAGUCGAACCUAGGAGGCAGAAGUUGCAGCAAGCCAAGAUCACGCUAUUGCACUCCAGCCUGGGCAAAAAGAGCGAAACUCUGUCUCAAAAAGAAGAAAAAAAAUAGUAACUCUUUGUGAAUAGUAUCAACUAAAAUAUUUAUAUUUCAGUUUUCAUUCUGAUAUUUUGUUUCAUCAGAAUUUUUUAAAGUAUUUUGUUUAAUAUAUUAACUUUAAUAAUUUCAUUAACUGUCUCGUGCUUACAAAGUCUUUAUGCAUUUGGGGAUUAUGUAAAGCAUCUACCUUUACACUUUUAAUGAGUUUCAGAGGUUUUUUGGUACCUUUGAGUUAUAAUACAAAAAUAAUUUAUUUGGGUGUGAUAUGCAGUGAAUUGCUAACAUUAUUGCUUUUAAUUAAAGAUUAAAUUCCAAUGUUGAAUGAUAUUUUCUUUAAUUUCAAAAAUAAUUAGUAACUGUUCCAGGCACUAUCUAGGUUUAUGAUGUUUGAAACAAAGAUUCUUCCCACACAGCAUUUAUAUACUAGUGGUAAAUACAGGCAAUAAACUAAUAAAUAUGUAAUGAAAUAUCAAGUAUUAAUAAUCACAGUGAAUAAAAAAUAAAGGCAGAGAGAUG